rnacentral:rRNA from 1 species
AGUGAACGCUGGCGGUAGGCCUAACACAUGCAAGUCGAACGGCAGCACAGGAGAGCUUACUCUCUGGGUGGCGAGUGGCGGACGGGUGAGGAAUACAUCGGAAUCUACCUUUUCGUGGGGGAUAACGUAGGGAAACUUACGCUAAUACCGCAUACGACCUACGGGUGAAAGUGGGGGACCGCAAGGCCUCACGCGAUUAGAUGAGCCGAUGUCCGAUUAGCUAGUUGGCGGGGUAAUGGCCCACCAAGGCGACGAUCGGUAGCUGGUCUGAGAGGAUGAUCAGCCACACUGGAACUGAGACACGGUCCAGACUCCUACGGGAGGCAGCAGUGGGGAAUAUUGGACAAUGGGCGCAAGCCUGAUCCAGCCAUACCGCGUGGGUGAAGAAGGCCUUCGGGUUGUAAAGCCCUUUUGUUGGGAAAGAAAUCCUAUCGGUUAAUAACCGGUGGGGAUGACGGUACCCAAAGAAUAAGCACCGGCUAACUUCGUGCCAGCAGCCGCGGUAAGAC